AUUAAAUAACAUUCCACAAAAUAACAAUGCGAUUAAAAUAAAAAAUAUAUA
rnacentral:misc_RNA from 1 species